CGGCGGCCCGAGUGGUGACCACUAUUAUUGGGUCUAAAGGGUCCGUAGCCGGUUUGAUCAGUCUUCCGGGAAAUCUGACAGCUCAACUGUUAGGCUUCCGGGGGAUACUGUCAGACUUGGGACCGGGAGAGGUAAGAGGUACUACAGGGGUAGGAGUGAAAUCUUGUAAUCCUUGUGGGACCACCAGUGGCGAAGGCGUCUUACCAGAACGGGUCCGACGGUGAGGGACGAAAGCUGGGGGCACGAACCGGAUUAGAUACCCGAGUAGUCC
rnacentral:rRNA from 1 species